rnacentral:rRNA from 1 species
GAUGAACGCUGGCGGCGUGCCUAACACAUGCAAGUCGAGCGAACGGACGAUUAGCUUGUUUCUCUGAUGUUAGCGGCGGACGGGCGAGUAAAACGUGGACAACUUACCUAUAAGACUGGGAUAACUUCGGGAAACCGGAGCUCAUACCGGAUAAUAAUUUGAACCGCAUGGUUCAUAAGUGAAAGACGGUCUUGUUGUCACUUAUAGAUGGAGCUGCGUUGCAUUAGCUAGUUGGUAAGGUAACGGCUCACCAAGGCAACGAUGCAUAGAAGACCUGAGAGGGUGGUCAGGCACACUAGAACUGAAACGCGGUCCGGACUACUACGGGAGGCAGCGGUAGAGAAUCUUCCGCAAUGGGCGAAAGCCUGACGGAGCAACGCCGCGUGAGUGAUAAGAGUCUUCGGAUAGUAAAACUCUGUUAUUAGGGAAUAACAUUUGUGUAAGUAACUGUGCACAGCUUGACGGUACCUAAUCAAAAAGCCACGGCUAACUACGUG